rnacentral:pre_miRNA from 1 species
AAUAAGGUCAUUUUUCAGUUUUUAGAUAUAGUGUUUUGACUCUUCAUCUUAUUUAAAUUUUUUCUAUGAUUAAUAUUUUUAUUAUUACUAGAUGAUAAAAUAUGAAUAAUACUUUAUGCGUGACUAAUUUCUUUUAAGUUUUUUAUAAAUUUUUUAAAUAAGACGAAUGGUCAAAACAUUGGACACAGAAAUU